CCUACGGGGGGCAGCAGUGCGGAAUUUUAGAUAAUGGAGGGAACUCUGAUCUAGCGACGCCGCGUGCAGGAAGAAGGUCUUCGGAUUGUAAACUGCUGUGGUAAGGGAAAAAUGCUAUGUAGAGUGGAAAGCUACAUAGAGGGAUGGUACCUAACUAGAAAGCCCCGGCUAACUACGUGCCAGCAGCCGCGGUAAUACGUAGGGGGCGAGCGUUACCCGGAAUCACUGGGCGUAAAGGGAGCGUAGGUGGCCUAACAUGUCAACUGUGAAAACCCGGAGCUCAACUCCGGACUUGCAGUUGAAACUGGUAGGCUUGAGGACGGUAGAGGAAGACGGAACUGCCAGUGUAGGGGUAAAAUCCUUAGAUAUUGGCAGGAACGCCGGUGACGAAGGUGGUUUUCUGGGCCGGUUCUGACACUGAUGCUCGAAAGCCAGGG
rnacentral:rRNA from 1 species